rnacentral:rRNA from 1 species
UACGAAGGGGGCUAGCGUUGCUCGGAAUCACUGGGCGUAAAGGGCGCGUAGGCGGCGUUGUAAGUCGGGGGUGAAAGCCUGUGGCUCAACCACAGAAUGGCCUUCGAUACUGGGACGCUUGAGUAUGGUAGAGGUUGGUGGAACUGCGAGUGUAGAGGUGAAAUUCGUAGAUAUUCGCAAGAACACCGGUGGCGAAGGCGGCCAACUGGACCAUUACUGACGCUGAGGCGCGAAAGCGUGGGGAGCAAACAGG